GACGAACGCUGGCGGCGUGCUUAACACAUGCAAGUCGAACGGAAAGGCCCUGCUUGCUGGGUGCUCGAGUGGCGAACGGGUGAGUAACACGUGGGUGAUCUGCCCCUUACUUUGGGAUAAGCCUGGGAAACUGGGUCUAAUACUGGAUAGGACCAUGCUGUAGGUGGUGUGGUGGAAAGAUUAGUUUCGGUAAGGGAUGAGCUCGCGGCCUAUCAGCUUGUUGGUGGGGUAAUGGCCUACCAAGGCGUCGACGGGUAGCCGGCCUGAGAGGGUGGACGGCAACAUUGGGACUGAGAUACGACCCAGACUCCUACGGGAGGCAGCAGUGGGGAAUAUUGCACAAUGGGCGCAAGCCUGAUGCGGCGACGCCGCGUGGGGGAUGACGGCCUUCGGGUUGUAAACUCCUUUCAGCCAUGACGAAGCCCUUGUGGUGACGGUAGUGUUAGAAGAAGCACCGGCUAACUACGUG
rnacentral:rRNA from 1 species